UACGGAGGGUGCAAGCGUUGUUCGGAAUUACUGGGCGUAAAGAGUGCGUAGGCGGUUUGGUAAGUUGGAAGUGAAAUCCCGGGGCUCAACCUCGGAAUUGCUUUCAAAACUGCUAAUCUAGAGUAUGGUAGGGGAUAGUGGAAUUCCUAGUGUAGGGGUGAAAUCCGUAGAUAUUAGGAGGAACACCAGAGGCGAAGGCGACUAUCUGGGCCCAUUACUGACGCUAAGGUACGAAAGCGUGGGGAGCAAAC
rnacentral:rRNA from 1 species